rnacentral:rRNA from 1 species
GAUGAACGCUAGCGAGACGCUUAACACAUGCAAGUCGAAUGCCAACUUGUUGGCAUGGCAGACGGGUGAGUAACACGUGCUUAAUUUGCCCUGGAGUGGGGGAUAACAUCGGAAACGGUGAUAAUCCCGCAUACGUUCCAUAAAAUGAAAAUAUAUGGAAGAAAGAUUUAUCGCUCUAGGAGAAGGGCGCGGCUGACUAGUUAGUUGGUGAGGUAAUGGCUCACCAAGACGAUGAUCAGUAGCUGGUCUGAGAGGACGAACAGCCACAAUGGGACUGAGACAAGGCCCAUACCCCUACGGGGGUAGCAGUGGGGAAUCUUGCGCAAUGGACGAAAGUCUGACGCAGCGAUCUCGCGUGAAGGAUGAAGCUUUGCGGAGUGUAAACUUCUUUUCUGGGAGAAAACAACUGAUGGUAUCUCAGGAAUAAGGGACGGCUAACUACGUG